GGUUGUAUGGUGUAGUGGUUAGCACUUCGGAUUCUGAUUCCGGCGACUUGGGUUCAAUUCCCAAUACGACCU
rnacentral:tRNA from 1 species